AAUUGGCUGAUUUGAUCAAUACGAUUAGUCAAUUCUACCAGACCUGUUCCUUGCGUUUGCGCUUGCGAUCAAUGUAGAGCAGGCUUUACGCUCAACACUCUAUACGAGCUUUGUGCAAGCGGAAUGCGCGUCAAAUUGAAAAGUAGCGAAUCUGUCGUGAUUUAACCACAUCAUUUUCAGCAUGCCGUAAUAUCAGUUUGCUAGCAUACCAACGCGUGACAUCACUGAACAGCACUGUACCAACAUAUUUUUCACAUGGCAUGCUCUCACGGCGUGCUGACACGUCAUGUUUGCUGGGAUCCACAUUGUCGUUUGUAAAUAAAACUGUUACUAUCCAUAUAUAUAUUUUUGUUUGUAAAACAUUCAUGUAAGGGUGCUGUGUCUAAUAUUGCAAUAUAUGCAUUGCAAUGUUUGCAUGUAAAACCAUCUGCUUCAAUAAUUAGAAUUGUAGAAGAUUAAUAUUUUAAGGACAUCAAGUGACACGAGAUCAAUUAAAACACGAGAGAAUAGUUAUGUCAAUACUUAUUAUUACAUUUUUAUAACAAAUAAUAAAAUAAUUUAAAAAAUA